AACACAUGCAAGUCGAACGAUGCUUUCGGGCAUAGAGGCGCACGGGUGCGUAACGCGUGGGAAUCUGCCCUUAGGUUCGGAAUAACAGUUAGAAAUGACUGCUAAUACCGGAUGAUGACGUAAGUCCAAAGAUUUAUCGCCCAGGGAUGAGCCCGCGUAGGAUUAGCUAGUUGGUGGGGUAAAGGCCUACCAAGGCGACGAUCCUUAGCUGGUCUGAGAGGAUGAUCAGCCACACUGGGACUGAGACACGGCCCAGACUCCUACGGGAGGCAGCAGUGGGGAAUAUUGGACAAUGGGCGAAAGCCUGAUCCAGCAAUGCCGCGUGAGUGAUGAAGGCCUUAGGGUUGUAAAGCUCUUUUACCCGGGAUGAUAAUGACCGUACCGGGAGAAUAAGCCCCGGCUAACUCCGUGCCAGCAGCCGCGGUAAU
rnacentral:rRNA from 1 species